rnacentral:rRNA from 1 species
GUAGGUGGCAAGCGUUGUCCGGAUUUACUGGGCGUAAAGGGUGCGUAGGCGGACAAUUAAGUCAGAUGUGAAAUCCCAGGGCUCAACCUUGGGGCUGCAUUUGAUACUGGUUGUCUAGAGUGCAGGAGAGGAGAGUGGAAUUCCUAGUGUAGCGGUGAAAUGCGUAGAUAUUAGGAAGAACACCAGUGGCGAAGGCGACUCUCUGGACUGUAACUGACGCUGAGGCACGAAAGCGUGGGGAGCGAACAGGAUUAGAUACCCUGGUAGUCCACGCCGUAAACGAUGAGCACUAGGUGUCGGGGGUCGAACCUCGGUGCCGCAGUUAACACAUUAAGUGCUCCGCCUGGGGGAGUACGGUCGCCAAG